rnacentral:rRNA from 1 species
UACGUAGGGGGCAAGCGUUGUCCGGAUUUAUUGGGCGUAAAGAGCGUGUAGGCGGCUUUGCAAGUCCGUUGUGAAAACUCGAGGCUCAACCUCGAGACGCCGGUGGAAACUGCAAAGCUAGAGUCCGGAAGAGGAGAGUGGAAUUCCUGGUGUAGCGUGAAAUGCGCAGAUAUCAGGAAGAACACCCGUGGCGAAGGCGGCUCUCUGGGACGGUACUGACGCUGAGACGCGAAAGCGUGGGGAGCGAACAGG